rnacentral:rRNA from 1 species
GAUGAACGCUAGCGGCAGGCCUAACACAUGCAAGUCGAGCGGGAUUCGGUAGCUUGCUACCGAUGAGAGCGGCGCACGGGUGCGUAACGCGUAUACAAUCUGCCUCUUACUGCGGGAUAGCCCAGAGAAAUUUGGAUUAACACCGCAUAGCAUAGUGUUCCGGCAUCGGGACGUUAUUAAAGGUUACGGUAAGAGAUGAGUAUGCGUCCUAUUAGCUAGUUGGUAAGGUAAAGGCUCACCAAGGCGACGAUCUGUAGCGGGUCUGAGAGGAUGAUCCGCCACACUGGGACUGAGACACGGCCCAGACUCCUACGGGAGGCAGCAGUGGGGAAUUUUGGACAAUGGGCGCAAGCCUGAUCCAGCCAUGCCGCGUGAGUGAAGAA